rnacentral:rRNA from 1 species
AGUGAACGCUGGCGGUAGGCCUAACACAUGCAAGUCGAACGGCAGCACAGUAAGACCUUGCUCUUCCGGGUGGCGAGUGCCGGACGGGGGGGAAAAACAUGGGACCCUAUUUUUUCGGGGGGGAAAAGGUGGGGAACCUACGCCAAAUCCGACAUCGCACCACCGGGUAAAAGAGGGGGAUUUUCGAACCUUGCGCAAUGAAAUAACCGAUGUCGGAUUAGCUAGUUGGCGGGGGAAAGGCCCACCAAGGCGACGAUCCGUAGCUGGUCUGAGAGGAUGAUCAGCCACACUGGAACUGAGACACGGUCCAGACUCCUACGGGAGGCAGCAGUGGGGAAUAUUGGACAAUGGGCGCAAGCCUGAUCCAGCCAUACCGCGUGGGUGAAGAAGGCCUUCGGGUUGUAAAGCCCUUUUGUUGGGAAAGAAAAGCAGCAGGUUAAUACCCCGCUGUUCUGACGGUACCCAAAGAAUAAGCACCGGCUAACUUCGUG